rnacentral:rRNA from 1 species
AUACGGAGGAUGCAAGCGUUAUCCGGAUUUAUUGGGUUUAAAGGGUGCGCAGGCGGCGCGAUAAGUCAGCGGUGAAAUGUACCGGCUCAACCGGUGAGCUGCCGUUGAUACUGUCGUGCUUGAGUGCGAGCGGCGCCGGCGGAAUGUGUGAUGUAGCGGUGAAAUGCAUAGAUAUCACACAGAACACAGAUCGCGAAGGCAGCUGGCGAGGACGUUAGAGACGCGGAGGCACGAAAGCGUUGGGAUAUAACAGGAUUAGAUACCAUGGUAGUCCACGCAGUAAACGAUGAUGACUUGUUGUCUGCGACAGACAGUCGGUGACAAAGCGAAAGCGAUAAGUCAGCCACCUGGGGAGUACGAUCGCAAGGUUGAAACUCAAAUGAAUUGACGGGG